AAGAGCCGGAUGAGGGAAAUCUUCAUGUCCGGUUCUGUGAGGGGGCUUAUAGUAACCUUGGGGCUAUUACCCAACAAAAGGUGCGCUAUGGGCUCUACUCGAC
rnacentral:ncRNA from 1 species